rnacentral:rRNA from 1 species
CUCAAAUGAAUUGACGGGGGCCCGCACAAGCGGUGGAGCAUGUGGUUUAAUUCGAUGCAACGCGAAGAACCUUACCUACUCUUGACAUCCAGAGAACUUUCCAGAGAUGGAUUGGUGCCUUCGGGAACUCUGAGACAGGUGCUGCAUGGCUGUCGUCAGCUCGUGUUGUGAAAUGUUGGGUUAAGUCCCGCAACGAGCGCAACCCUUAUCCUUGUUUGCCAGCGAGUAAUGUCGGGAACUCCAGGGAGACUGCCGGUGAUAAACCGGAGGAAGGUGGGGACGACGUCAAGUCAUCAUGGCCCUUACGAGUAGGGCUACACACGUGCUACAAUGGCGCAUACAGAGGGCGGCCAACUUGCGAAAGUGAGCGAAUCCCAAAAAGUGCGUCGUAGUCCGGAUUGGAGUCUGCAACUCGACUCCAUGAAGUCGGAAUCGCUAGUAAUCGUGGAUCAGAAUGCCACGGUGAAUACGUUCCCGGGCCUUGUACACACCGCCCGUCACACCAUGGGAGUGGGCUGCAAAAGAAGUAGGUAGUUUAACCUUCGGGGGGACGCUUACCACUUUGUGGUUCAUGACUGGGGUGAAGUCGUAACAAGGUAGCGCUAGGGGAACCUGGCGCUGGAUCACCUCCUUA